GACGAACGCUGGCGGCGUGCCUAAUACAUGCAAGUCGAACGCAGUGGGGACGGGUGAUUAACACGUGGGUAACCUCCCAUCAGAGGGGAUAACACUUGGAAACAGGUGCUAAACCGAUACUGAUGGAUGGACCCGCGGGGGAUUAGCUAGUUGGUGGGGUAAAGGCGCACCAAGGCCACGAUGCAUAGCCGAACUGAGAGGGGGAUCGGCCACACUGGGACUGAGACACGGCCCAGACUCCUACGGGAGGCAGCAGUAGGGAAUCUUCGGCAAUGGACGAAAGUCUGACCGAGCAACGCCGCGUGAGUGAAGAAGGUUUUCGGAUCGUAAAACUCUGUUGUUGGAGAAGCGGUAUCUAAACAGAAAGCAACGGCUAACUACGUGCCAGCAGCCGCGGUAAUAC
rnacentral:rRNA from 1 species